AUUGAACGCUGGCGGCAGGCCUAACACAUGCAAGUCGAACGGUAACAGGAGGCAGCUUGCUGCUUCGCUGACGAGUGGCGGACGGGUGAGUAAUGUCUGGGAAACUGCCUGAUGGAGGGGGAUAACUACUGGAAACGGUAGCUAAUACCGCAUAACGUCGCAAGACCAAAGAGGGGGACCUUCGGGCCUCUUGCCAUCGGAUGUGCCCAGAUGGGAUUAGCUUGUUGGUGGGGUAACGGCUCACCAAGGCGACGAUCCCUAGCUGGUCUGAGAGGAUGACCAGCCACACUGGGACUGAGACACGGCCCAG
rnacentral:rRNA from 1 species